rnacentral:sRNA from 1 species
CGGUUAAAAAAAAGCCCAAACUUUCCUGUUUGGGCUUAGGGGAAAGGGCUCCGAAGAGCCUACGCUAAUCGUUUCAAUUCUUUGUUUACUAGAUGAAGUUUAGUUUAAUUUACCUAAUAUGCGAUUUU